rnacentral:rRNA from 1 species
GAUGAACGCUGGCGGCGUGCUUAACACAUGCAAGUCGAACGAUUGAAGCUGGAGCUUGCUCCGGCCGAUUUAGUGGCGGACGGGUGAGUAACGCGUGGGUAACCUGCCUCAUACAGGGGGAUAGCAGUUGGAAACGACUGGUAAAACCGCAUAAGCGCACGGUAUCGCAUGAUACAGUGUGAAAACACUCCGGUGGUAUGAGAUGGACCCGCGUCUGAUUAGCUAGUUGGUGAGGUAACGGCCCACCAAGGCGACGAUCAGUAGCCGGCCUGAGAGGGUGAACGGCCACAUUGGGACUGAGACACGGCCCAAACUCCUACGGGAGGCAGCAGUGGGGAAUAUUGCACAAUGGGGGAAACCCUGAUGCAGCGACGCCGCGUGAGUGAUGAAGUAUUUCGGUAUGUAAAGCUCUAUCAGCAGGGAAGAUAAUGACGGUA